CUUCAAACUCAAACACAGCGAAGAUCUGUUGGUUGGGGUGGUGGCAGAAAACGUGAGAGGGAGAGAAAAGGGGCAGUGAGGGGACCAUUUUAUCAGCUUCACCACCUUCGAUAAGAUCACCUUGUGUGUGUGAGUGUGAGUAACCUUUGCUGUCACCUCUGGCAUAUCUUGACAGCUGAACACUCAUGUGUGAAAGAUCCAAUUUAACUGUGUCACUGCGUGAAAAAAGCCAAGUAUCAGUGACCUGCUUCUGAAUUCCCUCUUGGAACACAUCUGUUGUCAGUGUCAAACGGCACAUGACCUGCGUAGCGCUCCGACUGUUAUUUAAUGAAAGGCAGCUGGUGGGACGCAGCUGUUCAACUCACACACCUGUGAUAACCAGACUGCGGACUGACAGCAGCAGUGUCAAAGAGAGGAACAACACCAAGACAGCAAAAGUCCACAAACCUCACAAUGUAGCCUAAAAGAUUUCAAGGAAAAAGUAAAAAUAAAAGUGUUGGGAACCAGUCUGCAGAAGAAACAGGACAGUUAUAAAUGUGACAUAACUGGAACUAUCCAACCAGGUGUGAGCCAAAAGGAGGCAUCAGAAUGGACGAGCACAUCAGCCACGGAAACUCCCCCACCAUUCAUAUCUCCCAUCAUUGGUUUGUGGAGGUUUCCUCAAACCUUUCCUAUUUUAUACUCAUGUUACUGAUCCUGGAGGGAGUGAUCCGAGCUCAGGAGGCGAGUCCACCAGGAUUCACCAGCAGCUCUUUAUAAGGACAAGAGAAAAAAGGCCCUGCUGCCUCUAUAUUUAGACCCACUUUAUUGGGCCUCUUUCUCUCCCUUUUCUUCCCUCUGGUCCUGCUGCUGCUGCCGCUGUUAGAAAUCUCUCACUAAAACCAUGUGGGAGGAUGGCCUUGCGCUCUAUCACAGCAAGGAAGGGGUGAGUCGAUAAAGAUCUGGCUGAUAAUAACAGAGAAGAGUAAAACAAUGGAUGGGGAGAGGACAGAGGGAGGAUGAUGGAGAAGAGAGAAGGUGGGUGGUGAGAGAAGGAGUUUUCAUUGGUUUUCCUGUGCUCCACAGGGUCUUUCUUCUCCAUCACUUCAGUGGAAGACCCAAAAAAAGGUCCAUGUUAUUCAUCCACUCGAAUGAAUUUUGCCUUUCCACCUUUUCUACAGCUUAAGUGGCAUCAUCUGCUUUUUUCUAUAGCUCUAUGCCCAAACAUAGGCCUCUCAUAUAUAUAUCCCCAUUAUAUGUAUGUGUAUAUGUAUGUGUAUAUGUAUAUAGUCCUUUAGCAUACCUGAGCUCUUAUGAAGGUCUUAUCUGCAAAACAAAUCAUUUGUUUCAACACCUUUGCCCCCUGUUGUCCAACAUUUACAGCCAUUGACACUCGGCACUCCAAAAAUGGCAUUCCCUUACGCUCGGCGUCUCUUAUCUUAUUGCCUGGUGAUUCUAAUAAUGUGUAGUCAAACACUAAUGGCACUGUGUCAGCACCCAAGAGAAUCUGCUGCUAAAGCAGAAGAAAAACAAAAGAGAGAGGGUUGGGAGUUGGCCGGAGAUGGGACACAGAUCACUUUCAAAGAAAAGAUUAAUGAAACCAUAAACAACCUCAACAUGUUUACAAUAAAUUAGAUGACUGGAAAUGAGCCAGCAUCAUGGUUCUUUUGAUGAACACGGUGAACAUUGAUAUUUGUUCAAAAAUGUCAAUAGGACAAAGUAACUGGAUCAAUGUUUCCCAAACGUUUUUUCUGGGGACCAAUAUUUUAAAUGUCACCAAACUUCACGACCUAAGUCAACAGACAUUAUUCGUAAACUCCUGGGAAACAUGAUGCGAGACAACCCAAAAAAAUCUCUUGCGACCCACCUGAGGGUUGCGAACCAGUCUCUGGGAAACGAUGAACUGGAUCACUAAAAUAAAACAACCAGGAAAGUUAUUUUGACAUUUUUUCAGAAUUAUAAUUAGCAUCAAAAUAAAUCUAAUAAAAGGAAAAUUUUAAAACUGUCCUAUAUUUAAAUGUGAAAUGUUUCUUUGGUCCAGUUUCUUAGCAGAUCUACAAUACAGAGAUUCUGAGUCAGUCAGUCUGAACUAUUUAUUCCAGAUUUGGUAGACAACAGUUGUCUUAUUUCACAUUUCACAUGACUGAAAUAUAUAAGACAUUUAGCUUUAAAUACAUCCAAAUGUAUGACACUGGGUUUGACUGUGACUGUUCCACCUGCCUGUAAGGUCCUGUUAAACACUAGCUGUUGUUGCUUGUCUUAUCCCAGCUCAGUCCACAAUCACCAUGUGCUGAGAAGAGCACAGAGGAAGUGACACCACAGACAGGUGGAGUUAAUAAAGCAAAAGGUACUAUUUGAAUAUCAGCUGCGCGAUGCAGCAGCAGUUGCAAAAAAAAAAACAUCAACUGCCAUGCAAAUGAGAGCCAAAUAUGAUUCAAAACAGGAAAGGAGAGUUCAGGACAGAGGCCAAUGUGCAGGAGGCUUUUGGGUACGCAGUACGUACAGUAAUAUGGUGGCAUCACGUCAUCAGUCCAUGUAGUUUUUGUGGUUAUGACUUCUUUCGACAGUGUCUAUCCAGUCUUACAGAGACAACAGCACCCUGGGGAAAGGACAAGUCAUGACAUCACCAGAGUAGUAGCAACACUGAGGACAAUAAUUCUCUGUGCAGCAGAGGAGCUGAGGCGUGGCCUGGCUGCACAGAGGCGUCUGUCAGUGGACCAGCGAGGCCGAGCAGCUGUCUCAACCUCUGCCUGUGUCACAGAUGCUGUGUCAAUCCUUCAUCAAAGCUCACACAGCAUUUGGACAAUGGAUGGACAGAUUUAUAUAAUGUCUCCUCAAAUAUGUGUGUGUGUGUGUCAGCAUCUCUGUGACCAUGCUGAUGUUCCAGCAUUGGAACGCAGGGCUGUAGGUGGAGUAGGGGUGGAGGCCCAGAGAUAUAGAAAAAACAACAACAACAGCUACACAAAGAGCUGAUGGACAAAUAUUCCUCACUGAAUUUCAGGGGUGAUGACAGCUGAGAUAAAUGUGUAUGUGAAUCACACAGCCUACCCACAUGACAGCAGCAUGAUUUACUAUAAAUGUGUCUUCUUUUAGACUUGUGUUUUUAUCCUCCACUCAUAUAGGUUUUCUGCCCGAGGCCCAGCUAUGGCAAAUGCUACAAAUCUUUUUUUACGAGU